GCAGCUGGGAGAUCCCACGGGCCUCCAAGGCUGAGGAAGGCAUGUACCAAUGCAUAGCAGUCAGCAGAGCCGGGAAAGGACAAGCCAACGCCAAGAUUGUCAUCACAGACCCUCCGCCACAGCUGGCUCCUGGCCCCAAUGUGACCGUGUCCCCAGGGGAGACUGCCAUCCUGUCCUGCCAAGUCCUAGGUGAUGACGUUCCUUACAACCUCACCUGGGU
rnacentral:lncRNA from 1 species